UCACUCUGGACAGUGCAAACCUGUUAGUGACAGAAUAGCAGAAAGGAAGGGGCGGGGAUUUAGACACGAAGGCAGCACCUUCAUUGGACAUAGCUUUCUGUGGGGGAGGGAGCAUUUUCUUCCUCUCAAAAACAAAAGAAAUGACUAGGACUCAGCUUUCCCUGGGAAACUCUCUGAGGGUCUGGCAUCAGCAACAAGGAAGGGGGGCAAAUAGAUCGUGUGGAAAGUGGUCACAGAAUCAGAAGAUGACUGCCUUGGGGUGGCGAAUUGCGCUUCAGGCUUCUGUGGAGUUUUGUGAGUAUUCGAUAAAAUGGCUUACCCACGGGAUUGGAACAAAGUCUGUAUCUUCUGUGGAUGGGAAGAAGGAGCCUAACCACAGCUGGUCACUGGGAGGCAACGGGCACGUGUGUGGUGCCCUCUGAAGCCCUAGGUUCUCUGCCGUAUAAAAGUGCCUACAGCUUUAACGGCACUGCUCAAGUAGCUACGAUGAGGCCGGCGAUCGCCCAGCUGCUUCUGCCUCACGAACCGCAGCUCUAAAGAGGCAUCCUCCAAAAUGGGACUACAAUUUUCACCUUAUGCUAGGGAUGCCCUGAACCUGGCACGCACGAUGCCCUAGGCCAGAUCUGUGGCUCAAUGCUUCAAGAGACAGGGUGACGAAGAGUUCGGAACUCCUUCUGCGCGACGCUUUCAGGCCGCUUGUAGAAUGAAUUUGGGUGGCUGUUAGCAGCACCACAUAAUGGAAAGUUUUAUUUGUUCCCCGGUAUUUGGCAAAAUUUGCAGCCCCUCCUGGCCCCUGUAUCCAUUAGUACCUAAUGGCAUCUAUCACAGCAUUAAAUAUCCCAUUAGCAUGG